rnacentral:tRNA from 1 species
GCCUUCGUGGCCUAACGGAUAAGGCGUCGGCCUCCUAAGCCGAAGAUUGCGGGUUCGAAUCCCGUCGGAGGUU